GACGAACGCUGGCGGCGUGCUUAACACAUGCGAGUCGAACGGUGACCGAGGAGCUUGCUCCUCGUGAUCAGUGGCGAACGGGUGAGUAACACGUGAGUAACCUGCCCCAGACUCUGGAAUAACCCCGGGAAACCGGAGCUAAUACCGGAUACGAGACGAAGUCGCAUGGCUAUCGUCUGGAAAGUUUUUCGGUCUGGGAUGGACUCGCGGCCUAUCAGCUUGUUGGUGAGGUAACGGCUCACCAAGGCGACGACGGCUAGCCGGCCUGAGAGGGCGACCGGCCACACUGGGACUGAGACACGGCCCAGACUCCUACGGGAGGCAGCAGUGGGGAAUAUUGCACAAUGGGCGAAAGCCUGAUGCAGCGACGCCGCGUGAGGGAUGACGGCCUUCGGGUUGUAAACCUCUUUCAGUAGGGAAGAAGCGAAAGUGACGGUACCUACAGAAGAAGCACCGGCUAACUACGUGCCAGCCGCCGCCGUAACAC
rnacentral:rRNA from 1 species